GAAAAAAUCCCUACAACUUCCACACCUUUCCACUAGAACUAGAAUAGUCAGGAUAUUGUUUUUCCUCUUCAUCACACAACACAAAUCAAAGCUGAAAGAACGAAAAUUAUCCGAAAGUGGAGGAGAAAGUUGGAAAAGGGGGCUAUUGUUGCUUCCUCUCUUUAAUGUCUGUAAUUCCUUCUUUAUUAUAUGAAAAAUAAACAAAAAUUUGAUAUCCCCUUUCCUAUUUAAACAUCUUAAGAGAGAUCUCUUAAUCUUUGAUUAUUCUAUAGAACUUUCAAUCCUAAAGUGCGGAACAUCAGUAAUAGUACUACUAGUAAUAAUUGUUGCCAAAAUUUCAGUGCUAUUAUGGCGAUUUUCUUCUUUCUCUCACCAAAUUGAUAUUGGAGGAGAGAUUUGACAAGUAUCUUGGUUUGUUAACUUGGAGGAAAAGUGACCCUGCAAUUGGUGCUUGCAACCAUUGAGGUGAAUCCAGUCACUCUUGCCGAGUUGUGAGUAUUACAGAUCUGAGCCUCAAUGUUUCAUUUGCUACUAUAAAUUUCUUUGAACAUUACAGUUGUUGAAUUCAUAGGUUGAUAAACACAUGAGAAUCUUUCCAUUAAAGGAAAAAGACUUAUCUUAGAUUCAGAGCCAAAUAAUGAGGAUUGUAGAGAGUAACGGGGAAAACUUCAAAGAUAUGUUGCUCCUCUCUCUGCAAUGCCCGUGAUUACAAUUCUUGUUGUGAUAAAUAUAAAUUCUAUUGAUAUUUUAAGUUCUUCAACUACCAAACCGUCCCUUAAUCUUAGCUUACUUUCUCAAAAAAUUCUCAAACCAAAACAGAGAAUCAAUCUCAUUAGUAGUAUUUACUAAUAAUAAUUGGUGUGAAAAUUCUGAGGCUAUAAUGUUGAUUUUCUUUUUUCUCUGAGAAAAUCAAUAGUGUACGAAAAAUUGGAUGCAUCUCUUGGUCGAGCAAUUCAAAUGGCAGAUUACCCUUUAAUUUAUACUUGAAGCCAUAACAGGCGAUCCCAUACUCUUUUGCCGUAUCACAAGUAUUAUAAAUAUUAACUUCAAUGUUUAAUUUGCUUUGGAUCGAUUGAAAAUCCCAUCUUCACCUGCACAAAGUAGAAUUGAUAUAGCCUAAAUGUCUGUUGAAAUGAUUUAACUAUCAUCAAUUAGUACAGUGCAACUUGUGAUUGAGUUCAUAAAUGUUCUUUACUUAUAUUUUUUCAAAGAUUUAUUACAUAUGUGUUUGUGCAUUGCAAAAAUAAUAUAUUGUAGGAUUGAAAGAGAAAAGAUUAAUACACACCAAUCCAUUGGGAAAGAAUAUAAAUUAUAAUAUAUUUUAAUUUUUCCGUCGUGAUUAAAGAUAUUUAUUUUAGAGUUCCGACUUCAUAUAUUUCUUGAUCUUCUCUUAUGCCAUCUUAAUAUGUUUCUCCUUUGCCUACAAAAACAAUUGAAAGUAACUCUUUCAUAUGAUGUUUGUACUUCAAAUUAAAAUGAGUAAAAGGUGAAAAUAGAUGAUGUGUGGAGAAAUGAUCCUCUGCUUUUUAUUAUCUUUCAGACAUCUUCCUUCUGAAGAAGAACAUGGGAGAAUGCUUGCCAUACUAUUGUUAUGAUUCUGAACAUUUUGAGCCGGUAUAUUUGUCUUUUAUUUUUUUAUGCUUCCUACAUAUGUAUAGAAGACAAAUCUCAUGUUAGAUAUUCAUCUUGGUAGUUUUUUAUUAGUUGAGCUUGUCAUUUUCAAUCACUAAUUUUCUAUUGAGAUCAGUAAUUUUGUUGCCUUAAAUUCUUUGUAUUCCUUCUUAGCUUAUUCUCAAUACUAAAAAAAUUCAACUGGAGUACUUUCAGAAGGGUCGUUGAAUGAGCUACAACAUUGAUGAAUUCCAAAAACUAAUUUUGAAGGCAUUUUUACUUCCACAAUCCUCAUUUGAUCACGAGAAUUGUUAACUAGCCAAAAUUCAUUUUGGUAAUAUAGUCGGUCCCAAUAUCAAUUUAUUUGGCUAAAUAAUUCUUAAAGUUUUGUUAUCUCCUCAGUUAUUUCUAUUAGUUGUAUGAUUUUGUGGAGUUUAAGUUGAGUUUCAUUGUUGCGCGUUGCUUAAUCUCUGUGUCUUAGGUAGGUUAGGAAACCUGAUGCCAAACCCCUGCAGAUAAUCAAAGACUAUCCUGUCUACAUGCACAUUCUUCUUUCAAGUUCUUGAUUACAUUGAUAGGUGAUUAUUUCUUCUACAAUAUUGUAACGACCUGUUUAGUCGUUUUGAGCAGCGGAUUUUAUUUUUGGAAAAAUAGGCUGAGGCGACGAACCCCACGACGGACCGUCAUGGGCACGACGGACCGUCGCAGGGUCUCGUUUCAAAACACUUAGAAAAUCUGAAAUUGGGUACUGAAAAUCGACUCUCUGAACUUCGUGACGGAAUGGCAGGACGGACUGUCACAGGUAUGACGGACCAUCACAGACUCUUCAGAAAAAUUGAGUCUCUGAACUCUGUGACGGGCAGCAGGACGGACCGUCGCAGGCGCGACGGGCCGUCAUAGACUGCGAAAUCCCAGUCUGGGUCGGAUUUCUUUACACGUUUUAAGGGACGUUUUGGACUAUUUGUACUUUAAUUAUAAAGUUAGAGGGUUAAUGUUAAUAAGUCUAAUUACUUGGGGGUUAAAAGAGGUAACCUUAAGUUAAUUAGUGGGUUAUUAUUGUCAUCUUUUAUUCUUAAUUAUGUACUAAUUAGGGUAAAAGAAAGAGGGUUUGAAUAAGAAAAAGAAAAGAACAGAAAGAGAGAGAAGGAGAAUUGAUAGACGGAGACGAACGAAGAGGAAAAACACAAGGCUUUGGGAAAUUCUUGCUUGAUCACUAGUCUUCGGUGGAGGUAGGUUAUGGUUAUUUUCAUGCUAUUCGUAGUAAACUCUUAAUAGCGAAUGAUAUGUGUUAGUAGUAUUGUAAACCCUUCUAUAUGCUUAAUUGUAUGCUUGCAUGAAUGAUGUGAUUAUGUAAUUAUGAAUAAAUAAGCAUGAUGAAGCUAUUGAAUCCCAAAUCUUGAAAAGAAACCCUAAUCUACUUUGUUAAUGAUGAUGCCUUGGUAUAAAAGAAGGCUUGAUGAACGAAAGUGGUGAGAUUAGGGGAUCAGGUGCCACGUUCCGGUACCAGUAUAGAGAUAGAGGAUCGGGUGCCACGUUCCGGUACCAGGAUAGAAUGAGGAUCGGAGUGUCACGUUCCGACACCAGGAUAGUAUAUGGAUCGGGUGCCACGUUCUGGUACCAGGAUAGAAUGAGGAUCGGAGUGUCAUGUUCCGACACCAGGAUAGUAUAUGGAUCGGAUGCCACGUUCCGGUACCAGGAUAGAAUGAGGAUCGGAGUGUCACGUUCCGACACCAGGAUAGUAUAUGGAUCGGGUGCCACGUUCCGGUACCAGGAUAGAAUGAGGAUCGGAGUGUCAUGUUCCGACACCAGGAUAGUAUAUGGAUCGGGUGCCACGUUCCGGUACCAGGAUAGAAUGAGGAUCGGAGUGUCACGUUCCGACACCAGGAUAGUAUAUGGAUCGGGUGCCAUGUUCCGGUACCAGGAUAGAAUGAGGAUCGGAGUGUCACGUUCCGACACCAGGAUAGUAUAUGGAUCGGAGUGUCACGUACCGACACGAGGGGAAUAAAUAUAAUGAAUCUUGCAAGAUGCUAAUAUACUCAAUUUAAUGAAUCUAAUUCCCAAAUGAGUAUGGUAUUGAGGCUUGAGUCCUCAUGUGUGAACUUGACGGUAAUUGUUAAUGAUAUAGUACUUAUUGUUGCUACAUGUUGAGUAUCAUAGUUGAUUUUAUGAUAUUACUUUAUAUAUAUUGUUUUCUAUUUCGAGUUGGCCGAUGAUAUCUACUCAGUACCCAUGUUUUGUACUGGCCCCUACUUUUAUUGUUUUCUUCUUGUUAUUUGUGGAGUACAGCAAACGUGCCGUCAUCUUCGACUCAACAGUAACUCUAGCCAGUCUUCAUUACUCCGGAUAUCAGGGUGAGCUAAUGCUUCUAGCUUGGACUGGAUCUUCCUCUUCAUAUCUUGAUGCCUUGAAGUUCCGGCAUACUCUUAGUUUAGUAAUUUGAUCAUAGAUGUUCUUGUGGUGAUGACAUCCAGAUUUUGGGGAUAAUAAUAGUUAUUGAUUUUAUUAAUGAGUUAAGUCUUCCGCAUUACUUUCUGUUGAUAUUAUAUUGAAAUGUUAAGGUUUAGAUUGGUUGGUUCACUCACAUAGCAGGGUAAGUGUGGGUGCCAAUCGCGAUCCGGUUUUGGGUCGUGACAAACUUGGUAUCAGAGCAUUAGGUUCAUUGGUCUCAUCACACAAGAACGAGUCUAGUAGAGUCUUAAGGAACGGUAGGGGGGACACCUUUACUUUUCUUUAAGAGCCUAUAAGACUUUAGGAAAAUUCCAUUCUUUCUUUCUUCUUUCGUGCUAUUACUUGGGUCCAAUUGGUAUCUAGGUGAUACAAAUUUGUAUCUGACCAUCUUCACUCUAUUUCGCAGAUGGUUAGAACUAGAGCAACGACUACGCCAAUACCAACACCAGCACCAGCGGGACAGGGUGCGUCUGAGCCAGCCACUGGGGCUGUAGCUCUAGGAAGAGCAGCGGCAAGAGGCCGUGGUAGAGGUCGUGGGAGGACGUCCUCUAGGGGAAGAGGACGGGCACCUAGCCCAUCUGAUACUAGGGCAGUGACUCCUCCACCGACUGAGGAAGUAAUAAGAGAAGGGGAGGAUGGGGAAAAUGAACAAGUGCAGAAUGAGGGAUUGCCACCCCAGCCUACCCUAGAGAUGAUAAAUCAGGUGCUCGCUUAUCUUAGUUAGUUGUCCGAUCAGGGUCAGGCACCUCCAGUGUUUUCUGCACCAACACCUCCAGUUUCAGAGGUACAACAUGCGGCCACUAUGGCUCCUCGUAUGGAUGCCUCAUUGGACAUAGGCACGUUUCCACGUCUAACUACUGGGCCUAUAAUGACAAAUGAUCAGCAUGAACUUUUCAGUAAGUUCUUGAAAUUGAAACCUCCGGUCUUCAAGGGUGCUGAAUCGAAGGAUGCUUAUGAUUUUCUGGUUGACUGUCACGAGCUACUACACAAGAUAGGUAUAGUAGAACGGUUUGGUGUGGAGUUUGUGACUUAUCAGUUUCAAGGGAACGCCAAAAUGUGGUGGCGGGUCACAUAUUGAGUGUCAACCAACAGAGGCACCACCUAUGACUUGGGCCUCAUUCUCUAGCUUGUUUAUGGAGAAGUAUGUCCCCCGAACUUUGAGGGAUAGGAAAAAGGGAUGAGUUCUUGAGCCUAGAACAAGAUAGGAUGUCGGUUAAUGCAUAUGAGGCUAGGUUUCGCGCACUAUCCAGGUAUGCCACUCAACUUUGUUUCAGUCCACAAGAGCGGAUUCGCCGGUUUGUGAAGGGAUUGAGGUCAGAGUUACGGAUUUCGGCCUUACAGGUAGCGGCUACCGUAAAAUCCUUCCAAGAAGUGGUAGACUUCGUGAUAGAGGUUGAAGGAGUGAAGCCCGAUGACUUCACCUCGACAUCGACAUCAAAAAGGUUUCGAAAGGGAGGUGAGUUUAAUGGUUCUUACCCUAGAGGACAGGGUUCCGGAGGUUACUCAGUCCGACCGAUUCAGUCUUCACUACAGACUGUAGUUGGGGGUCCACCUCAGACCGGUCAACACUUCCCUGAGAGACCUAUGCAUGAACCCACAGAGUGCUAUGGAUGUGGGGAGAUUGGACAUAUUAAGAGAUAUUGUCCAAAACAGAGUUACCGACCCCCAAUAGCUAGAGGUAGAGAUGGUUAUGGAAGAGGCCGUCAUUCUGGAGGACGCGGUGGUCGACGUAAUGGUGGUCACCAAAACGGCCGGGGUGAUGGGCAGACUGGAGCCACUAAAUCACAACAUGGUAGGGGCAACGGACAGACAAGUAAUGGGGCCCAUUGCUACGCUUUUCCUGGGAGAUCUGAAGUGGAGACAUCAGAUGUUGUCAUCACAGGUAAUCUUUUGAUUUGUGAUUGCAUGGCUUCUGUAUUGUUUGAUCCUGGAUCCACAUUUUCUUAUGUAUCUUCCUCAUUUGUUAAUGGUCUAAAUUUACGUUGUGAAUUACUUGACAUGCCUAUUCGUGUUUCUACUCUGGUGGGUGAGUCUGUGGUAGUUGAAAAGGUAUAUAGGUCUUGUUUGGUGAACUUUGUGGGGAGCAACUCUUAUGUAGAUUUGGUUAUCUUAGAAUUGAUUGAUUUUGAUGUAAUUCUGGGUAUGACUUGGCUUUCUCCGCAAUUUGCGAUCUUGGAUUGUAAUGCUAAAACGGUGACGUUAGCCAAGCCUGGGACAGAUCCGUUAGUGUGGGAGGGUGACUACACUUCCAAUCCGGUGCGUAUCAUCUCCUUUCUUCGUGCUAAGAAAAUGGUUAGUAAAGGGUGUUUAGCUUUCUUGGCACAUCUCAAGGAUGACACUACCCAAGUACCCUCGAUUGAGUCAGUUUUGGUAGUCCGUGAGUUUUUGGAUAUGUUCCCUGCAGAUCUUCCUGGUAUGCCACCGGAUAGGGAUAUUGACUUCUGUAUUGAUCUUGAACUGGUUACUCGCCCCAUUUCUAUACCCCCUUAUAAAAUGGCUCCCGCCGAAUUGAGAGAGUUAAAGGCCCAACUUCAAGAGUUGUUGAGCAAAGGCUUCAUUAGACCAAGUGCAUCUCCUUGGGGUGCUCCGGUUUUAUUUGUGAAGAAGAAGGAUAAGAGUUUUCGGAUGUGCAUAUACUACCGGCAGUUGAACAAGGUAACUAUUAAGAAAAAGUAUCCUCUUCCCCGCAUUGAUGACUUGUUCGAUCAGUUACAAGGUGCUUGUGUCUUCCCUAAGAUUGACUUGAGAUCUGGUUAUCAUCAAUUGAAAAUACGGACAGCGGACGUGCCAAAGAUUGCUUUUCGAACCAGGUAUGGGCAUUACGAAUUUGUAGUGAUGUCUUUUGGUCUUACGAAUGCCCCCGCUGCUUUCAUGAGCUUGAUGAACGGGAUUUUUAAGCCAUAUUUGGAUCUCUUUGUGAUCGUAUUUAUUGAUGAUAUACUGAUAUACUCUAAAAGUAAGGAGGAACAUGAGGAGCAUUUGAGAAUGGUAUUGGAAAUGUUGAGGGGGAAAAAGCUUUAUGCCAAGUUCUCUAAGUGUGAGUUUUGGGUAGAUGCAGUGUCCUUCUUGGGGCAUGUAGUUUCUAAGGAUGGAGUGAUGGUGGAUCCUUCUAAGAUUGAGACAGUGAAGAAUUGGGUAAGACCUACUAAUGUGUCAGAAAUAAGGAGCUUUGUUGGGUUAGCGAGCUAUUACCGUCGAUUCGUCAAGGGAUUCUCUUCCAUUGCUUCCCAAUUGACGAACUUGACUAAGCAGAACGUUCCAUUUGUAUGGUCGGACGAAUGUGAGGAAAGCUUUCAGAAGCUCAAGACUUUGUUGACUACUGCACCCAUCCUUGCCUUGCCAGUGGAGGGUAAGAACUUCAUUGUCUAUUGUGAUGCAUCCUAUUCGGGUUUGGGUGCAGUGCUAAUGCAAGAGAAGAAUGUGAUUGCUUAUGCUUCAAGACAAUUAAAAGUGCAUGAACGUAACUAUCCAACUCAUGAUUUGGAAUUGGUCGCGGUAGUGUUUGCAUUAAAGCAAUGGAGACACUAUUUAUAUGGGGUUAAGUGUGAGGUCUAUACGGAUCAUCAUAGCCUACAGUAUGUCUUUACUCAGAAAGAUUUGAACUUGAGAGGAGAUGGAUGGAACUACUGAAGGACUACGACAUCACUAUUUUGUAUCAUCCGGGGAAGGCUAAUGUUGUGGCAGACGCCUUAAGUAGAAAGGCAGGGAGCAUGAGAAGUCUAGCUCACUUGCAAGUUUCCAGACGUCCAUUGGCUAGAGAGGUUCAGACUCUAGCUAACGACUUGAUGAGAUUAGAAGUAAACGAGAAGGGAGGAUUAUUGGCUUGUGUGGAGGCAAGAUCUUCUUUUCUCGACAAGAUUAAGGGAAAACAGUUUGAUGAUGAGAAACUAAGUAGAAUCCAAGAUAAGGUAUUGCGAGGAGAGGCUAAGGAAGCACAAAUCGAUGAGGAAGGUGUUUUGAGAAUCAAGGGAAGGGUAUGUGUACCCCGAGUUGACGAUUUGAUCAACACUAUUCUGACAGAGGCUCAUAGUUCAAGGUAUUCUAUACAUCCUGGUGCAACCAAGAUGUAUCGUGACCUAAAGCAACACUUUUGGUGGAGUAGAAUGAAGCGUAAUAUUGUGGAUUUAUUUGCCAAAUGUCCAAACUGUCAACAAGUAAAGUAUGAACACCAGAGGCCCGGAGGAACACUUCAGAGAAUGCCCAUUCCUGAAUGGAAGUGGGAAAGGAUCGCAAUGGAUUUCGUGGUUGGUCUUCCAAGGACAAUGGGUAAGUAUGACUCUAUUUGGGUGAUUGUUGAUAGGUUAACUAAGUCUGCUCAUUUCAUUCCGGUCAAGGUGACUUACAAUGCAGAGAAGUUAGCCAAAAUCUAUGUCUCAGAAAUUGUUCGGUUGCAUGGGGUUCCACUCUCCAUCAUAUCAGAUAGAGGUACGCAGUUUACUUCUAAGUUUUGGAAAACAUUGCAUGCGGAAUUGGGUACUAGGUUGGACCUUAGUACUGCGUUCCAUCCUCAGACCGAUGGUCAGUCUGAGCGAACGAUUCAAGUGUUGGAGGAUAUGCUUCGCGCAUGUGUGAUAGAAUUUGGUGGUCAGUGGGAUAGCUUCUUACCCUUAGUAGAGUUAUCCUACAACAAUAGCUAUCACUCAAGCAUUGAUAUGGCUCCAUUUGAAGCAUUGUAUGGUAGGAAGUGUAGGUCCCCCAUUGGUUGGUUUGAUGCAUUUGAAGUUAGACCUUGGGGUACUGACCUUCUGAGGGAAUCGUUAGAUAAAGUGAAAUCUAUUCAAGAAAAGCUUCUAGCGGCGCAAAGUAGACAAAAGGAGUAUGCAGAUCGGAAGGUUAGAGACUUGGAGUUUAUGGAGGGUGAACAAGUCUUGUUGAAGGUUUCGCCAAUGAAAGGGGUGAUGCGGUUUGGUAAGCGAGGUAAACUUAGCCCAAGGUAUAUUGGUCCAUUUGAAGUACUUAAGCGAGUAGGGGAGGUGACUUAUGAGUUAGCCUUGCCUCCAGGGCUGUCCGGAGUACAUCCGGUAUUCCAUGUGUCGAUGUUGAAAAGAUACCAUGGGGAUGGAAACUACAUUAUCCGUUGGGAUUCAGUUUUUCUUGAUGAGAAUUUGUCUUAUGAGGAGGAACCUGUUGCCAUUCUAGAUAGAGAAAUUUGCAAGUUGAGAUCAAGGGAUCGCAUCAAUCAAAGUUCAAUGGAAGAAUCGACCCGUUGAAGAAGCCACUUGGGAGAAGGAGGCAGAUAAGCGAGAAAGAUACCCACAUCUGUUUACAGAUUCAGGUACUCCUUUUCGCCCUUGUUUUCCUUCUUCUUGAUCGUUCGAGGACGAACGAUGGGUAAAUUGGUAUCUAUUGUAAUGACCUGUUUAGUCGUUUUGAGCAGCGGAUUUUAUUUCUGGAAAAAUAGGCUGAGGCGAUGAACCCCACGACGGACCGUCAUGGGCACGACGGACCGUCGCAGGGUCUCGUUUCAAAACACUUAGAAAAUCUGAAAUUGGGUACUGAAAAUCGACUCUCUGAACUUCGUGACGGAAUGGCAGGAUGGACCGUCACAGGUGUGACGGACCGUCAUAGACUCUUCAGAGAAAUUGAGUCUCUGAACUCUGUGACGGGCAGCAGGACGGACCGUCACAGGCGCGACGGGCCGUCACAGACUGCGAAAUCCUAGUCUGGAUCGGAUUUCUUUACACGUUUUAAGGGACGUUUUAUACUAUUUCUACUUUAAAUAUAAAGUUAGAGGGUUAAUGUUAAUAAGUCUAAUUACUUGGGGGUUAAAAGAGGUAACCUUAAGUUAAUUAGUGGGUUAUUAUUGUCAUCUUUUAUUCUUAAUUAUAUACUAAUUAGGGUAAAAGAAAGAGGGUUUGAAUAAGAAAAAGAAAAGAACAGAAAGAGAGAGAAGGAGAAUCGAUAGAGAGAGACGAACGAAGAGGAAAAACACAAGGCUUUGGGAAAUUCUUGCUUGAUCACUAGUCUUCGGUGGAGGUAGGUUAUGGUUAUUUUCAUGCUAUUCGUAGUAAACUCUUAAUAGCGAAUGAUAUGUGUUAGUAGUAUUGUAAACCCUUCUAUAUGCUUAAUUGUAUGCUUGCAUGAAUGAUGUGAUUAUGUAAUUAUGAAUAAAUAAGCAUGAUGAAGCUAUUGAAUCCCAAAUCUUGAAAAGAAACCCUAAUCUACUUUGUUAAUGAUGAUGACUUGGUAUAAAAGAAGGCUUGAUGAACGAAAGUGGUGAGAUUAGGGGAUCGGGUGCCACGUUCCGGUACCAGAAUAGAGAUAGAGGAUCGGGUGCCACGUUUCGGUACCAGGAUAGAAUGAGGAUCGGAGUGUCACGUUGCGACACCAGGAUAGUAUAUGGAUCAGGUGCCAUAUUUCGGUACCAGGAUAGAAUGAGGAUCGGAGUGUCAUGUUCCGACACCAGGAUAGUAUAUGGAUCGGGUGCCACGUUCCGGUACCAGGAUAGAAUGAGGAUCGGAGUGUCACGUUCCGAUACCAGGAUAGUAUAUGGAUCGGGUGCCACGUUCCGGUACCAGGAUAGAAUGAGGAUCGGAGUGUCACGUUUCGACACCAGGAUAGUAUAUGGAUCGAAGUGUCACGUACCGACAUGAGGGGAAUAAAUAUAAUGAAUCUUGCAAGAUGCUAAUAUACUCAAUUUAAUGAAUCUAAUUCCCAAAUGAGUAUGGUAUUGAGGCUUGAGUCCUCAUGUGUGAACUUGACGGUAAUUGUUAAUGAUAUAGUACUUGUUGUUGCUACAUGUUGAGUAUCAUAGUUGAUUUUAUGAUAUUGCUUUAUAUAUAUUGUUUUCUAUUUCGAGUUGGCCGAUGAUAUCUACUCAGUACCCAUGUUUUGUACUGACCCCUACUUUUAUUGUUUUCUUCUUGUUAUUUGUGGAGUGCAGCAAACGUGCCGUCAUCUUCGACUCAACAGUAACUCUAGCCAGUCUUCAUUACUCCAGAUAUCAGGGUGAGCUAAUGCUUCUAGCUUGGACUGGAUCUUCCUCUUCAUGUUUUGAUGCCUUGAAGUUCCGGCAUGGACUAGCUUUCAUUUGUUUUAGCUUCUUAGAAUACUCUUAGUUUAGUAAUUUGAUCAUAGAUGUUCUUGUGGUGAUGACUUCCAGAUUUUGGGGA
rnacentral:lncRNA from 1 species